rfam:Rattus norvegicus chromosome 18, whole genome shotgun sequence.
GGGGAUUUAGCUCAGUGGUAGAGCGCUUGCCUAGGAAGCACAAAACCCUGGGUUCAGUCCCCAGCUCCG